CGGCAGCGGGGGCUUCGGCCUGCCGGCGAGUGGCGAACGGGUGAGUAAUGCAUCGGAACGUGCCCAGUCAUGGGGGAUAACUACGCGAAAGCGUAGCUAAUACCGCAUACGCCCUGAGGGGGAAAGUGGGGGAUCUUCGGACCUCACGUGAUUGGAGCGGCCGAUGUCAGAUUAGCUAGUUGGUGAGGUAAAGGCUCACCAAGGCGACGAUCUGUAGCGGGUCUGAGAGGAUGAUCCGCCACACUG
rnacentral:rRNA from 1 species